UACGUAGGGAGCAAGCGUUGUCCGGAAUCAUUGGGCGUAAAGCGCGCGUAGGUGGCCUCAUAAGUCCGUUGUGAAAGUCAAAGGCUCAACCUUUGAAAGCCGAUGGAUACUGUGAGACUAGAGUACGGAAGAGGCGAGUGGAAUCCCUGGUGUAGCGGUGGAAUGCGCAGAUAUCAGGAGGAACACCAAUAGCGAAGGCAGCUCGCUGGGACGUUACUGACACUGAGGCGCGAAAGCGUGGGGAGCGAACAGG
rnacentral:rRNA from 1 species